rnacentral:rRNA from 1 species
GCGUGAGUGAUGAAGGCCUUCGGGUUGUAAAGCUCUUUCGCCCGCGACGAUGAUGACGGUAGCGGGAGAAGAAGCCCCGGCUAACUUCGUGCCAGCAGCCGCGGUAAUACGAAGGGGGCGAGCGUUGUUCGGAUUUACUGGGCGUAAAGGGCGCGUAGGCGGCGAUCCAAGUCGAGUGUGAAAGCCCCGGGCUCAACCUGGGAACGGCGCUCGAGACUGGGUGGCUGGAGUUCGGGAGAGGAGCGUGGAAUUCCCAGUGUAGAGGUGAAAUUCGU